AGCGAACGCUGGCGGCAGGCUUAACACAUGCAAGUCGAGCGGGCAUCCUUGUGGUGUCAGCGGCAGACGGGUGAGUAACGCGUGGGAACGUGCCCUUCGAUUCGGCAUAACUCAGGGAAACUUGAGCUAAUACCGGAUACGUUCGAGAGCAGAAAGGUUUAUCUGCCGAAGGAUCGGCCCGCGUCUGGUUAGCUAGUUGGUGAGGUUAUGGCUCACCAAGGCGGCGAGCAGUAGCUGGUCUGAGAGGAUGAUCAGCCACACUGGGACUGAGACACGGCCCAUACUCCUACGGGAGGCAGCAGUGGGGAAUAUUGGACAGUGGGGGUAACCCAGCUCCAGCCAGGGCGCGUGAGUGAUGACGGCCUUAGGGUUGUAAAGCGCUUUUGUUCGGGACGAUAAUGACGGUACCGGAGGAAUAAGCCCCGGCUAACAUCGU
rnacentral:rRNA from 1 species